GUCGGCACGACUCCUGCCCGCCCCCCCGGCUCGCCCGUCGGGCGGGAGGACGGCGCUUCGCACAAAGGGAGAAACGAGGCAGCCCACGCCCAGCGACGGUCUCGGUAGUGAGAAGGGAGACGGCCAGAGACUAAACGAUCCUCCCACCUGCAAGAAAAGUGGGUGUCCGCAAACCGGACGCAAACACCACAGGUCCGCCUGAAGUUAAACCCGGGAACUGCUCAGAGAAAACGAAGGCCGCGGAAAGAAGCGAGCCAGCGGACUCUUCCGUACGCUGACGUCCAGACAUGUAUCAAAUUACUACUCUUGUGGGAACAGAAGUCUCCCUACGGUGAAUAUUCUGUGCUAUCCGUCAUAGGACGCUGCAACCGUUGUACAGGGUUACGUCUUCUCUGCUUCAAUCCCUGGCUAAUUAUACAGACGAUAUAUAAGAUAAAUGCAGUCGGUUCAAGCCAUGCGAGUGCAAGUACGUCACAAGGAUUACAGCUGGGCUGCGUAUCCCUUCCUUUCUGAGACCACUCACAGAUUCAGUGGCAGCAGUGGGAUCGAAGGAGACUUCCAUCAGUUUUGAGAACAACAAGAAACUCAGGCCCCAACCGGAAUUCUUCCUAAGUCUCGGAAGGCAGGGCUGGGGGGCCCCUCAGAAGCCUUGUGCCCCAGCUCCACUUCGGACGCUGUCGUCUGGACCUGGUUCACAGCCGGUGCUCUUGCACUGGCUGCUCAGCACUGAGUCAACGCUAAAUGUUUCCAGACUGCACGUUCCAAACUCCUGUGGACUGUGAUUUCGGUGUUGCCGUGUUUGCGAGGACUCUGGCCAGUUUCAGAUCUGGGCAGUGGCCCAACUCCUGGUUCAAAUUCUCAGUAUCUGGUCUGCUGUUUAGCAUCAGAGACACACAUGCACAGUCCAGGGCUUUCCACAUCUCAGCUGAAGGGGACUCCUUCACAGUCACUCCAGCCGGAAUCCUUACGGUUCCUUCUGCACACUCCUCAUCCGAUCGGUCGGGAGAUCCUCCAAAUCGGAGCACGCCAACCAC